rnacentral:rRNA from 1 species
GAUGAACGCUGGCGGCGUGCCUAAUACAUGCAAGUCGAGCGAACAGACGAGGAGCUUGCUCCUCUGACGUUAGCGGCGGACGGGUGAGUAACACGUGGAUAACCUACCUAUAAGACUGGGAUAACUUCGGGAAACCGGAGCUAAUACCGGAUAAUAUAUUGAACCGCAUUGUUCAAUAGUGAAAGACGGUUUUGCUGUCACUUAUAGAUGGAUCCGCGCCGCAUUAGCUAGUUGGUAAGGUAACGGCUUACCAAGGCAACGAUGCGUAGCCGACCUGAGAGGGUGAUAGGCCACACUGGAACUGAGACACGGUCCAGACUCCUACGGGAGGCAGCAGUAGGGAAUCUUCCGCAAUGGGCGAAAGCCUGACGGAGCAACGCCGCGUGAGUGAUGAAGGUCUUCGGAUCGUAAAACUCUGUUAUUAGGGAAGAACAAAUGUGUAAGUAACUAUGCACGUCUUGACGGCACCUAAUCAGAAAGCCACGGCUAACUACGUG